rnacentral:rRNA from 1 species
GCGAGCGGCGGAUGGGUGAGUAACACGUGGGGAACCUCGCCCCAUAGUCGUGGGAUACCACUUAGGAAACAGGUGCUAAUACCGGAUAAGAAAGCAGAUCGCAUGAUCAGACUUUUAAAAAGGCGGCGUAAGCUGUCGCUAUGGGAUGGCCCCGCGGUGCAUUAGCUAGUUGGUAAGGUAAAGGCUUACCAAGGCGAUGAUGCAUAGCCCGAGUUGAGAGACUGAUCGGGCCACAUUGGGGACUGAGACACGGGGCCCAAACUCCGUACGGGGGGAGGGGCAGCAGGUAGGGGGAAUCUUCCACAAUGGACGCAAGUCUGAUGGAGCAACGCCGCGUGAGUGAAGUAAGGUUUUCGGAUACGUAAAGCUCUGUUGUUGGUGAAGAAGGAUAGAGGUAGUAACUGGUCCUUUAUUUGACGGUAAUCAACCAGAAAGUCACGGCUAACUACGUGCCAGCAGCCGCGGUAAU